CUACUUGGCGCUCAAACUUCCUCCGGCUCAUUUAAACCGCGGAAACCGGUCUUAACACGAGAACAUGUCCGGAUCAACAACUCGUCAAUGCCCUCACUGCCUGGCUCGGAUAAACUGUGCAAAUCGAAAAUGCUCUAAGUGUGGAAAACUGUUGAGCUUCAAGGCAAGGCAAACGGCUCGUGUGAAGAAAUUUCGAGCCAGUGCAGCACAGUGGGCCAAAAAAGCAAAAGCCUCAAGGAAUGAGGCCAAAGUUUUUGACAACUCUGCAGUAAUAGUAAGUCUGUCAUCUAUAUUCUACAUCUAUACCACCGCACGGUUGCAGAGGGCAAUGUUCCCUGCAUGCUUGUACAUUCCCAGCGCUCAAGAUAAUAUGUGCAGUGCACAAAACAAAAUGACAUUCUAUUUACGUACACAAUUAUCCUAUUUACAUUGUAAGCAAAGUUACAAACUCUAUUUUCUCUAUCAACUUCAACUGGGGUGUGGUGGUGGUGGGCUGGACAGUCUGAAAUUGGCCAAUCAUCAGAUAAUAUUCAGGACACUGAAGACCCUUCUAUCAGUCAAUUAUAAAGCUGCUGCCUUCCUCCCACCCGCCUGCCACCGGACUGCCAACAUGCACCCUCCAAAUGUGCUUGGGUGGCCACAUCCCAAUGUCAGAAAAUCGAUUUGUUGCUGCUCAAUUUUAACUUUUUCUUCAAAGUUGGGUUGCCACCACAUGGCAUAUAAAAUUGCGACUACCGCCACCCAAUUACAAAUGGCAUUGGUGCUGGCAUU